rfam:Hordeum vulgare subsp. vulgare, WGS project CAJW01000000 data, contig: morex_contig_367287
GUCGGGAAGAGGAAGAAAGAGAGAGCUUAAGAGCAAUAGGAAUGGGAACAUGGAGGAAAACCUAACUUUAUUAGUUUUCACCUCUAGUGUUGCAGCUGAUAAUUUAGUUUGGUGUUUUCCGAUGCCUCCCAUUCCUAUUGUUCUAAGGCACCCCUUCUUCUUCAUUUUUUUG